CAGUAGCCACGGUAAUACGAAGGGUGCAAGCGUUAAUCGGAAUUACUGGGCGUAAAGCGUGCGUAGGCGGUUUGUUAAGUCUGUUGUGAAAUCCCCGGGCUCAACCUGGGAAUGGCAAUGGAUACUGGCAAGCUAGAGUGUGUCAGAGGAUGGUGGAAUUCCCGGUGUAGCGGUGAAAUGCGUAGAGAUCGGGAGGAACAUCAGUGGCGAAGGCGGCCAUCUGGGACAACACUGACGCUGAGGCACGAAAGCGUGGGGAGCAAACAGGAUUAGAGACCCCCGUAGUCCCUGUCUCUUAUAC
rnacentral:rRNA from 1 species